CCACCCAGACAAUAACAGGAGGCAAACUAAAAAUUUAAAAUUAGGCAUUCAGACAACGUAAAUAUGAAAAACCAUUGUCUGAGGGGCCUUGUCCAUAAAUCAAAUGAGGGAGCUGAAUGCUGUCCAAAUGAGCCCAAUAUAAUUAAAGCGGUGAAAAAAAAAAACACUUAAGACAAAAAAUAACCCUAGAAGAAAGAGGCAACCAAUGCAUAUACCCCAUUUGCAAAACUCAUUAGCCCGCUGUUGUGUCGACUCUCUCUGCAAGAAACCCUUUCUCGACAAACCCAACCGGACCAUCACUCUUCGACCAAACUUGAAGAUCGCUUCCCUUCCCAUCCCAUCACUUUUAGGGUUCUUCCAUUCCCAUCUCUUCCCAAUUCCAUCCCAAAACGAACUCGGGCCUCACGUUACGAGGGUCGUGAAGAAGAGCGGGAUGGCGGUGGUGGCGGAUAUGUUACGCGAAGAGGGUGGUGAGAGAGCGAGUUGGCGUAUCAAAGAGCGACGGCGGAAGAGGGGGAUGAGAUUGGGGGUGGGUUAGGGUUUUGGUGCAGAGGCGUCGUUGGAGAGAGAGACGGAGCUUGGGGAUGGGAUUAGGAGUGGGAUCGAGCUUGAGGAAGGAACAUGGAGCAAAGAAGUAUUUGAAUUUGGGGGUGGGGGCCUCAAUUAUCUCCUUCAUCUCUCUCUCAAAUUUCGGUUUCCCCUAAUCUGUUUGAUUUCAAAAUCCGAUCUUUAGGGGUUGGUGUUCUUGAAUUUGCCUUUUGAUUGGUUUGUUUGCGUUUUAGGCGGAGGAGGAAGAUUUGAUGAUAAAGGAGCCCAGCCAUAAGAGAAUGCAUAUGACUAAGGAUAAGGCAGAGAAUUAGAAAAGCAAAGAAGAAGAUAAAGCAAGCUGCUCUUCAUCUUUUUCACAGCUGGAGAUGGAGUAUUGUGGUGGAGAUGUUCUCAGCUUCGCCCCCGAUAUCUGAGAAGCAGGAGUAUGGGAAGAUGGAGAUUGUGGUGGAGCGGAAUUCGGGAAUUUUCGGGUCCAAGAGAGGUUGGGGAUUAUGGUGGAGUGGAAUUCAAGGAUGUAAGCCACGUUCCCAAAGGUUAUGUCAAGAAGUUCAGAAUGCCAACUUCCCAGAAUUUAGUCCCAAUUCGGGUCGAUUUCGAAGUCAAAGGCCAGAGGUUCAAAGACGCCUUCACUUGGAACCCAUCUGGUGGAGAGAUUUGCAAAGUUUGCUAAAUUAACUGUUAGAGACUUGAAGCUGUCUUCGAAUUACGAGAGAGCCAUUGUUAAUUCCAUUCAGGUUUUGGUCAACAGGGAAGAGGAUCAAGGUUUCCAGAUAUCAAAGAGGAUGAGUCAGAGGAUGAUGACAUUGAUGGAUAGUAAGUCAGAUUCACGGGGACCAAAGAGGUGAAGUAUGGAACUAAGGCAAAUAGACUGUAGUCCCAAGGGUGCUUGCAAAUGGAACACUAAGCUUCUUUGGAAGAUCUGGUCAGUAAUCAAGGUGUUUAGAGAUGUGCUUGCAAUGCUCUAGUUUCUGUGAUUUAUUAGAGCCGGGGUGGGGAGGUUCUAGAACUCGGAAAAGGGAGCUUUGUACAUUAAGUAAUAAGUAGCUGAUGGAAUUUCAUUAAGUAGCUUUGAACAACUCAGAAAGACCAA